UACGGAGGAUGCAAGCGUUAUCCGGAAUGAUUGGGCGUAAAGCGUCCGCAGGUGGCUGUGUAAGUCUGCUGUUAAAUAGUGAGGCUCAACCUCAUAAAGGCAGUGGAAACUACACGGCUAGAGUGCGUUCGGGGCAGAGGGAAUUCCUGGUGUAGCGGUGAAAUGCGUAGAGAUCAGGAAGAACACCGGUGGCGAAGGCGGCAUCCUGGACCAAUACUGACGCUGAGUGAGCGAAAGCCAGGGGAGCAAACGGG
rnacentral:rRNA from 1 species